CAGUUGCUUGCAUUUUAUGAAGUACGGGACUAAAGUUCAUGACAGCAGACAGAGAUGCAACUCCUCCCUUGGAGAUAACCAACACGUGAGAAGAGAUCUUUACGUGAGCCUUCUGCACGUUGUGUCUGCUACAAAAAAACCUUAUUUGAACCCUGUACAUUGGUAGGAGGAUGCUCUUCUCAUGGGCCUGCCUUUCCCUUGGGCCCAGCAGAACUCAGGCUCAAGCUUUCUGGGAUAUGCAGCCAUGUAACCUCCAUCAUGGGAUUUUUGCAGCCAAACACUACAAUAACCAGCACACCCAGCAACAAAAUCCAAUAUCGAGAUGUGAAAAGAUACAACACAGAUGUGACUGGAUUUGAAGAGGCAAAGAGAUUCCUAUCCAGCACAGCUGGAUUCAACCUGCCCUUUUCACGCUUCAGUGGCUUUAAUUUAACUCCAGAUCAUGCAGCUCAAGCAAAAUCUUGUUUAUUUGACAGUAAUGUUCUCAGUAGAUGUCCCCAUAUAACUCAAAGCUGACUACAAAAAUGGCAGAGCUGUAGCUUGCCAGGCUUUCUAUCCUGCUUCCCCAGGACCUUCACACCUGACCCUGCAGACUGCUGGUCCUGGAGAUACUCCAUGCAUGGCCUCUUUGACUCAGCUUCUCAAGAGCAGGAGGGAUGAAAAGCGAAGUUGUGCGUCUCCACGGAUAUUCUCUACUGCAAGAGACAUACUUUCCACCUCUAAAUAUGCCAUGGACACAGUUCUACUGCUUUGAGGGAUCUGAAUAUUAUUCAGACAAAUUCACUGGGAGAGUGUUCAGGAAAAAAGCCACUGUAUGUUUAUCUUGUCAUAUUUUCCCUUAUGUCACCACUGUUGACUGUAAUACUGGGCUAGAAGGCCACAGUGCAGUUGUUUUAACGUUGUUUUGUGCAAAUUAAUAUGACUCUUGAGUUUGCUCUCUCUGGUUCCAGACCAAAGUGCAUGAGAUGAGCACAGGAGUGGGAUGAGAGUCAGUUCAGUGCCAUCCCUGAAAUGAGGGGAGAGAAAUAUUUAACAGCACAGUGAGAACAUUGCAUUGGAGCACUGGAACAUCCCCGGAAGUUUUCAAGAAACAUGGAGAUGUGACACUGAUGGAUAUGGUUUAAUGGGCACGGUGGGAGCGGAUUGACUGUUGGUCUGGAUGAUCUUAGAGGUCUUUUCCCACCUUGAUGAUCCUAUGAUUCUGAUUGCCCUUAAACUAGGUAGGCCCGGAGGCUCAGAUGUAUCAGCUACUUCUUCAGACUUCUAUCCCCCUUACAAUCGAGAUAGAGGCUAUGAGAUCUAGACAUACACACGAACAAAUAUGGGAAAGGAUGAGGUUGGUGAGAAAGUGGUUUAUAUCUGUGCCUUCAACUUGGCCUGAACUACUCGGAUAGUGGAGACGAACAGUUCUAUAUGUAGGUGUUGGAUGUUUUGAAUCCAAUUUCUUCCACACUGGAUCCCAGCAUAAAGCAUCAUACUUCAAGAAGGAGGCAGUGCAGAAAUCCAUGGAGACAUGUGAGCAACUGGUGUUGAGGGGGUCUUAUCCAUGCCAGGCACUAGAGGGGAUAAAGCAUGAGAGCUGAGAAAGAUCAGUACAGAGACCAGGAUUACAUCUGCCUGCACUAAAGAAGUGCUUCGGGACAAGACUUCUCCACCUGAGCCUGCCUGCUUCAAUCCCUCAAUCCCCUGUUCUCCUCUAUUAAACAUGAAUAAAAAUAAUGAAAUGGUGGGCCUUUGCAUUGGUCAGAGCAUUAUUUCUGUCUUUCAUGGACAGAGUGGUAAUUUUCAUGCAGAAAUAACUCUGGACAGAGUUAUUAAAAGAUUAAAAAACACUCCCAAAUGAAAAAAAAAAAAAAAAAAAGAGGGAAAAAGAAAUACAGGCUGAAAAAACAAAUAUCCUUACCAGAACUCAGGGGCGUUUCUCAUAACAUCUUGCCUAUGUUAUGAAGUCUGAUUUAUUUUCUAAAAAUGAAAAAAAAAAAAAAAAAAAAAGAUGAGGUAGACUGGAACACUUUGCUGAAAUUCAUAUGACCUGCUGAUAAACCAAAUUAAAAGUCUCCUGUUGUAGCCUCGUGUAGUCCUGCAGCAGCAAGACUGCUCUGCAAUCAUGUUGAUUCCUGCAAUGGCACAAAGGUCGUUGCUUUGCUUGUGUUUUUGAUAGGCUCCUGUGUUCUUCUCAUUGUAGCACAUAGUUCACCUUCUAUAUGGGUGGAAGUACCUGUGGUGCAGCAUGAGUGAUGCUGAGAGCCAAGGGGAAAGUCCCCAGGGCUCAUGACUGCGUCAUGGAUUUAUGCCAGCCACAGGCAGGUGAUUGCCUUGUAUGGCAAAUAAAUGGUGAAGCAGUUACAGGUGGCCCCAUGUUGACAGUUCAGGGAAAUACCAUGAAAAUUAUGCGGAGAGAUUAGAAAAUAAAAUCUUAACAAGGAAUGGAAAAGCUGUGAUUUCUCUUCAAGUCUACCUCAUUAGAAAUGGCUGUCUGCAAAAGGAUGGAGGAUUUUAGAAGACUUGAGCACGAAGCUCCAAGACCCACUGCAAACAGCUUUGAUACCAGCAUGCUGUAUCACUGCUGGCUUCAGCUCCUUCUUCAAUAUAAAGGUGAACAUACAACAUCAAGCAGGGAGAACAGAUGUAUUUAUACAGUUGCUAACAUUUAUCUGAGCCAGCAGAUGCUAGGCAUGUCUUAAAUACCUCUACUAUUUUUUAUUUUUUUUUAACACAACAAGUCUCAUAGAGAUGAAGUCACUCUCCAAGGUGACUUCGGGACACACGACUUCAAAGCAGCCCUGGACUUUUGCCUUAUGUCUACAGCAGGUCUUUUACAGCUUUAUACACACUUGUCUCUUGAGAAGAUCAAAAUAAAGCAGGGUGUUUCACUUUCUAUCCUCUUGUCAUUAAAAUGGUAUAGAAGCUUUAUAGUAGGCUGCAGCUCAGGUCCAAGUAUGGAGUUAGAGGAAACUCAAUGUGCCGGCCAUAAAAAAUAAUGAAACAACAGCGUGCCGCCUCCCUCAUCAUUACAGUUUGGCAUCACGAGAGUGUGGUAUUUAUUAACUUCAGCCUUUGGAGCUGACAUCACUGCAGAGUUGGGGUCCGGGAAAUCUCUGAGUCAUAUGGACCACAGAGCCAGGAAAUGUCGGCAAAAGAUAAAGUAAAUAAAACAAAUAUUGAAGUGAAAGGAAUGGCAAGCUGGCAGUAGCUUCCUGAAGGAAGCCACAAGCAUUGAGAGCCAGCUCCAGGCUGGUUGGAACUGGGAACAGACUGUAGUCGUGGGUUAAAUGUCAGCAUUGAGCUCAGCUGACAAAUGAAGGCAGAGCUUCUUGCUUAAUGAUGUCAAAGAAGAGCGAGGUGAUGUGCUCAAAUGUGACCCACGGCCCUGGAAUGUAAACAAGAGUCCUUCACAGCUCACUGCAAAAGCAAUAAGUGCCUCUGCGGGGAAAGCAGGACAUGCUUCGAUCUCUGUUAAUUUCCCUACCAGAUCCAAUCUCCUGAUCUAUGGAUUAGGGCUGGAUGAUACGAAGACUUUGCAUUCUCAGUGGCUCUAAAGGCAGCUAGUGUCAGCUUGGUAUUGGGAUGAGGGGGUGCUGUUGGUGUGACGCACAGCUUUGGGUGGACAAAAAAUUGUUUUGAAUCCUCCUCAAGUUCAGCAAAUGUCUGCAGAUGAAGAAAAUAAGUUGGAAAUGAUUAUUAUUCUUUUAAAGCUAGGAUUCAGGCAUCUUCUAUUAGUCUUUGCCUUUUCAAGCAGUUUUCUUAACUACUUUGUUUUCCCACAUUUUCUUAGUGGAAGUUUUUUUUUCAUAGAAUCAUAGAAUGGCUUAGGUUGGAAAAGACCUUAAAGAUCACCCAGCUCCAAUCCCCUGCCAUGGACUGGUUGCCACCCACCAGAUUGGGAUGCCCAGGGUCCAUCCAACCUGUCCUUGAGCACCUCUGGGGAUGGGGCACCCACAGCCUCUCUGGGCACAACUUCUCUAGAUAGCAGAAAAAAGGAAAUAUUCUUGGGGAGGGGUAAAGGGAGCCAAAGACCCAGGAGGACCCAUUGCUUUGCACUGGCUUUCCCUGACCUCCAUGUGAUGUGAUGGCCUGCCUGGAACCACACACGGCUAAGCCUGGGCAUGAAAAACUGCAAAGAAAACGUUGAAAAACUAAACAAAAAAUGAUUAAAAAAUAUUUUUUCCUAUUUUAAACUAGCUUUCCCAUGAGAGCUUGACUACACUGAUGAAGGACUUUGUACAAAGAAGCAGAGAACCAGGCAAGCAGAGAAUUAGACUACAUUCAUGCAUCAGUGAAAGGGGAACUGUCUGAUGACUUCCGGCAGAGCUGGCAUGCUUUUGCCAGAGCUGCUGAAGACAUUUAAGUUUCACUUCACUGUGGGAACUUUGUCUGUGGCUUGAGAUUUAUUUUGCUAUGCAAAGCUUUUGGCAUCGUGUGCUGAAGCAUGGCAAAAUUUAAUUUGUCCUUAUUUUUUGUUUUUCUUUUUCUUCUGCAGUUGCAGCCCUGUCUGGAGGAAUUGGAAGGCUGGGGGAUUCUGUGCCUUUGCACAGCUCUAGUUCUAGCACUGGUUGUGUCUGACGGUGGAGCAGGAAGUGGGCAUUUUCACUCUCCAGUCUCUGCUCCUCGUCUGUAGCUCUGCAGGUUCAGGGAAGAGGAAGUCACUGGUUUACACUUCCUUUCAGGUGCAGCCUUUUGUAGCGUGACUCAUUUUGUGCUCAUCUCUGACAUGUAACCUUGCACUUGCCAUCCCCUCUCCUCCUGCAGCCUUUCUGUGCUUGGCUCCUUCUGGACCCCCACGGCUGCACAGGGGAGCCGUUCACACAAGGCCUACCCACAAGGCCUGAAGUGCAUCCAGUGCCAUCCCACCGGCCUUGCUGUUUAAUCCCAUACAUUUGCACUGCUUUAUCAUAAGUCCUUGCCUUUUGCCCUCUUUUAAACGCUUUGACCUCUUACGAGGCUUACUGCUACUUUGCGCCAGAUUUUGGUAGGCUCUGGAAGUCUCUGAUGACUGAUGCUGGAUAAGGCAGGAAGGGUUGGCAUUGUAAGCAUAUGUGGAAAUGCAAUCUGAUUAAAAAAAAAAAAAAGAAUUUGGG
ensembl:lncRNA